GCGGUUAUACUUCGAUCAGUCUGGCCUGCCCACUGAUAUUUUAAGGGCCGCGGUACUAAACCGUGCUAAGGUAGCAUAAUCAAUAGUCUUUUAAUUGGGGUCUAGAAUGAAGGGUCGGACGAAAGAUUAUGUGUCUUAUAUAAAUAAAGAAUUUUACUUUUAAGUGAAAAGGCUUAAAUGAAAUAAUGGGACGAUAAGACCCUGUGAAGUUUGAAUACAUAUAAAAUAAAAAUUUAACUAUAUAUAUUUUUAUUUUUAUUUGGCAUUAAAUUCCGGGGGGGGCUUAAAAAUUAUAAAAUUUUAAGUGUUCGGGAAAAGAAAAAACCUCCUAGCUAAUUUUUUUUUCCUUUUAACGAAAAAAAAUUAAAAAUACUCCCCAGAUAACACAGUAAUUUUCCUUGAGAGUUCUUUUAUCCAGAGAAAAAUGUGACACCCCUGUUCUAAAAAACAAUUCUUUAAGUGGGGAAACGCUCACUGUAUGGGUGUGCGACAUCUAAAAGAUUACACGAGUGGAAGGGCACCGCGGGUUCAACGAUUAAAGUCCUACGUGAUCUGAGUUUCAGACCGGG
rnacentral:rRNA from 1 species